GCGGAAGAAUUGCUACCUUCACUAUGGGAAAAAUGCAAGAAGGAGUUUCUCGAUAAAUAUGCAACCUUCCUCAAACUGAUUGCCAAAAUAUAUCCCAAUGAAACCGUGACAUCCGUCAACGAUAUGAGAGAUACCCUAGCAGCUCUAUAGCAACAUUGCUGUUUGAUUAACUUUACAAGAGAGGACUGAGCCAAUCUGGGUAUGAGCCUGAGCGAGUGAGGUGGUUGACGGCAUGCUUCACCGACAGCUCGUGAUCAUGUAGAAGUAUAUCUAAAUUAGCAGCAAGAACCCAACGUUGUUUUUUUUUCCUAAUUGCCAAAAAAGGAGGGCAGUGUUCCAUCUACUUUUGCAUGUAUGUAAGAAUAAAAGUAACACUGUAGAUUUAGUCAGACUUAAUCCUGCAUGUAUUCUGCGUUUGCAUGUGAAACAUAGCACCCGCGUAUGUUGGCAAGUGAGCUUGCUAAAGUAUUUUCACAA